GCGCGAAAACUUUACAAUGCUGGCAACAGCGAUAAGGGAACCUCGCGUGCCAGGUUACAAAUCUGGCUGUCGAGAUGCCUAAAAAGCAUUUCAUAGCAAGGGCCGGGCAAGACCGGUGCCAGCCGCCGCGGUAACACCGGCGGCUCGAGUGGUAACCGUUAUUAUUGGGUCUAAAGGGUCUGUAGCCGGCCGGAUAAGUCUCUUGAGAAAUCUGGCAACUUAACGGUCAGGCUUUCAGGAGAUACUGUCUGGCUCGAGGCCGGGAGAGAUGAGAGGUACUUCAGGGGUAGGGGUGAAAUCUUGUAAUCCUUGAAGGACCACCAGUGGCGAAGGCGUCUCACCAGAACGGACCUGACGGCAAGGGACGAAAGCUAGGGGCACGAACC
rnacentral:rRNA from 1 species